rnacentral:rRNA from 1 species
AUGCUAUUUGCUGCUAUUACAACAAAUCAACCAAUCCAUAGUAAGUGUUCCCGUCUUCCCGAUCUACAUGAUUUUUUCCCAACCAACAUCUCUCAGAACUUUGCUAUAACGCCAAACUUGGAUAUAAUGCCAACGCCUGAGCGAAUUGCCGGCGUCACAAUAGUUUUACAAAUUGAAAGGUAUUUGGGCCAAAAUGAGUCCGAACAGGGAGCGGUCAAUUUAGCUAGAACAAUAUUGGGAGCCCGCCACCGAAAUGGCGAAACUUGGCAGGGCAUAUUAGAGGAUAUUCGGGCGGGUGGUGGUAUGGAUAAUUUUAUCCAGAAUCUGCCUGGUGCCUUCCCUAAUACCCCAUUGGAUCAAUUUGCCAUUUAA